CUUGGCUAUCUUGAACAACGCUUCAAUGAAUAUGGAAAUGCAACUUUCUCUUCAAGGUCUUCCUUUUUGAGUACCCACAUGAGAAACAGAGGCAUUCCUUUGCUGCUCUUUUUUCUGUACAAAGUGAAGAAUUGCGAGUCCCAGGAUUCCUGUGAGUCAAGCCUGGGAGCUACCAGAAGAAAAAUGAAAUGGCAAACUCACCUCCACUUUGGGUGGUCAGCCAACUAUGGGCACAAGAGGAGACAUGGGAGAAGCUCUGGAGGAAAAGUUUAUUCAAUAAUUUUCAAAUGGUAGAGAAGGAUUCAUGGUAUGCCAUACAGGGUCACAUGGGAAAGACAUCAAAGUGGUCAAGAGGCAGAAGACAGGAGCAAGGGCAAGGCUUAGAUCACUAUCUUUAUUGGGCUUUGAUGGAGAAAUCAGGCAGGACAGGAUAAAUAGUUUAGGGUGGUUAUUUUGAAUAAUUUCAAUGGUCUUUGGACUAUAAGGUGACCUCUCAUUGCUUGAUAACUGGUCCCAGGAAAAUUAAGGCACAGGAAUAUUGCUGCUGGGAUAUAUGGACCAAUGGAGAAGUUAAGCUCUGAAUUGGUUGAUUUGCAUAUCAGAGUUAUAUUCUUGGCUAGGUCCUUGUAUGGAUGUGUAGUAUUUGUAUGAAAAAUGAUUUCAGGAAUAGUGAAAAACACUGAAAUUAGAUGUGGAAGAUGUGGAAUGGUCAGGGUGGAGGUGUGUGUAAAGUGUAUUCAUUUGCUACUUAAGAAUUCAAUGGAGUUUAAGUGUCAUGAAAAAACAGAAAAAUAAAAGAAAUUUUAAGAUGUUGAUUGAGUCUCUGAGCUAAAAUAGUAUAGUCUAUGCUUCCCACAAUCACAUUUUCCUGUCAAAAAUAGAGAAACUCUAUCACCUUCACAAGAAACCACACAAGUCUAGAUGAGGGUAAGAUUACUUUCUAGAGUUUUCUAUGUCCACCUACUUUUUUUCUGCAGUACUUCAAGAGUGACAGAAUAUAUUGUAGAAAGGGAUAUUGAGUUUUCAGGAGACACUCUUUGCACAGCUUUUCAAGUGAUAGUGAUUUUAGAUGUGCUAAGUGGAUUAGAACUCCCACACAUACCCCUGCAUACUUUCUCACAUGCAGAAUUUGUUCCUCCGAUCCUUUCUUCUACUUUCCUACACAUCAUCAACCAUUCUAGAAAAUGUUGACUAUUAUGUGAUAAAUAUACUUUUCAAUAACAUUAUAAUUAACUUUUCUAAGUAUAAAAUUUCCAUGUGGAUAGAAAUUCUGGAGACUACAAUGUGGUAAAUAAAUUUUUGUUAAGAACACCAAGUCAGAAGACAGGGUCAAUACUUUUUGCUUAAUGAUGUUGAAAUGUUAAAGUACCUAGACACACUCAGAAGUGUUGCUUCUAUUUUAAGUAAAAAAAAUUGAGAAAUUUUUUCCCUCCUGAAUAUCACCGGAAAAGUAAUAGAUUAAAAACUAAACUGCUUCCCAAAGAUUUCAAAACCCAACUAUAAUGUAAAUUAAAAAAUGGGAGAAAUUGUGAUAUUUAUUUACUUGUUCUUAAAAAACAGCUUCUCAAUUCUUAAUUACAAGUAUUUAUAAGUUGCUUACUGUCUGUAAAGUGCUACUUUGGAGUAAGCAUGGUUAUUGGUAUGUGCACUUCUGUAAUCCCAGAGUUUCUGUCUACGUGGCAUCAGUGUUCAAUGGCUAAGCAACUCGUGUGUGUUCACCAGUGAGAAGAGGAGUCCUGUUUCUUUUCUUCUGCAAAUGAUAUUUGUAUAACCUAAUUUAAAAAUGUGUAGACUUAAGUUAAAAUUAUAUAUGCCUAAUUUUAAAAUUUCAAAUGUGGGAAAUACAUGAGAUUUUUCUUUCAGUGUUUCUGUGUAGUCUUUUGCAAUAUUUUGGGAUGAUGGCCUCAAAAGUUUGAACCUUAAAUGGACUUUGUUCAUGUAUGUGACAGGCAACAUAGAUUGAACUGGCUGAAAUGGCUACAAUAUGGAGAUAGUUUGUAACUUACAUAAAUUAAAUUUGCUCUGUAGUAUCAGUUAAAAAAAUAGAGUAUGUAGAUAAAUGAACUUUCAGAAAGAGAAAAUGCCAAAUCUAUGUUUUUCUCAUAAUGGGCCUCAUGACUGGAAUUUAAACGAAGCAAAGCAUACUGGAGUCUGACCUAAUUUUGAAAGAGGGAAACAUAACAAUCGUUUGUAGUCAACUUCAAUGUGAGGGAAUUUAAUGAGGCCUUUAGCUCAACAGCAACUUAUCUCAAAAACAUUUCUUGGAUGUUAAUAUGGUAAGAAUUCUGAUUUUCUGUAUUCUUUUAGGAUUCCCUAAAUCCUUGAUAAUUGAUACUAUUUAUUGGAUGAUUGUAUUUAGCCUCCCCCUCAUCCUAAUAACUGCAAAUUUUCCAUUUCUACGAUAUUGUAAUAGCAUUUUCAAAUGUCAUUGAUUUUCAAAUAUUACCUCU